AGGGUUAUGGUUAUCACAGGGCCAUAUUUCCAUGUUACAGCGCUUGUUUACAGAAGACAGAGGUGUCCAGGUGAUUUAAUUAGCUAUCGGAGCGUCUCCCAAACACCUCCGCGCAACGGAAGAAGGACCCCAGAAUAGUGUUGUAACCGAAAAAUACUGAGGGCUGCAACUGUGUUAAAACCGUUUAAACACAAAUGUUAAAACAGAGCGUUGGGAUAGUAGUUCACAUGGAGCCGUCUGUGGUCCAUACCAUCAGCUGAGAACCCAAGAGGGGGAACCUGCAAGCCGCCUUGGGUUCUCGAGAGCUGUGGUCAGACAUCCCGAAAGGACCUACCCUGACCUGGCAUAAAUCAUAAAAAG